ACACAGUCAGUAUGGCUUUCCUCCGGCAGACGGCGCUGACAUUAAAUGACGAAGAGUGCGCGCGAGAGAGAUAGAAAAUCAGUCAGAACGUGUCGUCGGUCGUUGUGCAGCCACAGCAAAUUGAUUUGUUCCUUUUGGCUAUAAAAAUGAUACGAUCUGAUCCAGGUUCGGCAAACUGCUUCGAAAGUUCGGAUGUAGUCAAGGACUGGAGAUCGACGUCAAGGGCCGGAAUGCUUAAGGAAGACGCCCUCAGCGGCGAUCGACCAGCAUCGGAGGAAGCAGAAAGGAAGUUUAUUUCUCGUUAUAUAUCGUAUUUAAAAAUUGUUUAAAGUUUUCAAUUUUAAAUUUGAGUUUGUGCCGUCUCUUACUUAUUAAUUUAUUGAAUAUGUCACUAAAUAAACAAAGUUUUAUUUGUCGAGAGCAGCGUA